rnacentral:rRNA from 1 species
AACGAACGCUGGCGGCAUGCCUAACACAUGCAAGUCGAACGAGACCUUCGGGUCUAGUGGCGCACGGGUGCGUAACGCGUCGGAACCUGCCCUUAGGUUCGGAAUACCUCCCCGACAGGGGUGCUAAUACCGGAUAAUGUCCUCGGACCCGAGAUUUGUCGCCUUUGGAUGGGCCCGCGUUGGCUUAGCUAGUUGGUAGGGUAACAGCCUACCACGGCGACGCUCCAUAGCUGGUCUGAGAGGAAGGGCAGCCACACUGGGACUGGGCCGCGGCCCAGACUCCUAGGGGAGGGGGGAGUGGGGGAUAUUGGACAAGGGGGGGAGGGCUGAUGGAGCAAUGGUGGGUGAGUGAUGAAGGCGUGAGGGUUGUGAAGCGGGUUUAUCCGGGGUGGUAAUGACGGUACCGGGAGAAUAAGCACCGGCUAACUCCGUG